rnacentral:misc_RNA from 1 species
GUGAAUCAUCGAAUUUUUGAACGCAAAUUGCGCCUUUUUCGAAUGGCGUGUCUAUUUGAGUUCACCAUUUAACAAAUAAUUUGCAGCGGUUUUUGUUGCACACGUUGAUGAGCUUUCCAAGAAUUUUAAAUUUUUGGUUGCGGAUAAGGAACAGCGUGAUGCUUUUGUUGCAGUGCGAGUGUGGUAAAUUCUUUGCUUGAGUUGUGAAAAACGUAAUUGCGCAAUGGGUGUGG